CCUACGGGAGGCAGCAGUGGGGAAUAUUGCGCAAUGGGCGAAAGCCUGACGCAGCGACGCCGCGUGAGGGAUGAAGGCCUUCGGGUUGUAAACCUCUUUCAGCAGGGACGAAAUCAGACGGUACCUGCAGAAGAAGCACCGGCCAACUACGUGCCAGCAGCCGCGGUAAUACGUAGGGUGCAAGCGUUGUCCGGAAUUAUUGGGCGUAAAGAGCUCGUAGGCGGUUUGUCGCGUCGGCUGUGAAAACUCGGGGCUCAACCCCGAGCCUGCAGUCGAUACGGGCAGACUAGAGUGCUGUAGGGGAGACUGGAAUUCCUGGUGUAGCGGUGAAAUGCGCAGAUAUCAGGAGGAACACCGGUGGCGAAGGCGGGUCUCUGGGCAGUAACUGACGCUGAGGAGCGAAAGCGUGGGGAGCAAACAGGAUUAGAUACCCUGGUAGUCCACGCCGUAAACGGUGGGUGCUAGGUGUAGGUCGUAUUCCACGCGAUCUGUGCCGCAGCUAACGCAUUAAGCACCCGCCUGGGAGUACGGCCGCAAGGCAAAACUUAAAGGAAUUGAGG
rnacentral:rRNA from 1 species